UCACACUGUGUGAGGUCUGUUUAGUUACAGAUGUAUGAUCGCAAAAAAAUAUAACUGAUUUAAUGACUCUGAGGUCUUGUACUUGUUAAUGAUA